rnacentral:rRNA from 1 species
AGGGAAGGCAACACAGUGAUGUGAAGCAAAACCCAAAAAAGACAGUCACAGUUCGGAUUGAAGGCUGAAAUUCGCCUUCAUGAAGCCGGAAUUGCUAGUAAUGGCAGGUCAGCAUACUGCCGUGAAUACGUUCCCGGGCCUUGUACACACCGCCCGUCACACCAUGGGAGUUGGGAAUGCCCGAAGCCGGUGACCUAACCGAAAGGGAGGAGCCGUCGAAGGCAGGCUUGAUAACUGGGGUGAAGUCGUAACAAGGUAUC